CGUAAGACGGAACUCAUUUUUCAGAAAUCUGUAAAAUGACUUGUUUUCUGGAAAAUGUUUUUUUGUGAUUGGUUGGAGAGCGGAAAAUAUUUUUUCGUACAUUUAUUGAAUUGAAGAUUGAAUUAGCAAAUUGGAUAGUGUUUUAAUGAAAAAUAUUUGAGUAGUAAAGAUUGAUAACAAUGUCUAAAUGUUAUUGCUCCUUUUGGUGGAACAAUUUCGGGCAACCAAAAUC